GAUGAACGCUAGCUACAGGCUUAACACAUGCAAGUCGCGGGGCAGCAUUUUCUUAGCUUGCUAAGGAAGAUGGCGACCGGCGCACGGGUGAGUAACGCGUAUCCAACCUUCCCAUGUCCACGGGAUAGCCCGUCGAAAGGCGGAUUAAUACCGUAUGAGGUCACAUGCGGGCAUCUAAGUGUGACGAAAGGUUUGGCGGACAUGGAUGGGGAUGCGUCCGAUUAGCUAGUUGGCGGGGUAACGGCCCACCAAGGCGACGAUCGGUAGGGGUUCUGAGAGGAAGGUCCCCCCACAUUGGAACUGAGACACGGUCCAAACUCCUACGGGAGGCAGCAGUGAGGAAUAUUGGUCAAUGGACGUAAGUCUGAACCAGCCAAGUAGCGUGCAGGAUGACGGCCCUAUGGGUUGUAAACUGCUUUUUAAUGCGGGGAUAAAGUGUGGGACGUGUCCCAUAUUGCAGGUACUGCAUGAAUAAGGACCGGCUAAUUCCGUG
rnacentral:rRNA from 1 species